GACGAACGCUGGCGGCGUGCUUAACACAUGCAAGUCGAACGGAGUGGCGAACGGGUGAGUAACACGUGGGUGAUCUGCCUUGCACUUCGGGAUAAGCUUGGGAAACUGGGUCUAAUACCGGAUAGUGCAAGAUGAGCUCGGGGCCUAUCAGGUUGUUGUGGCGGUAAUGGCCUACCAAGGCGUCGACGGGCAGCCGGCCUGGGAGGGUGUACGGCCACAGUGGGACUGGGAUACGGCCCAGACUCAUACGGGAGGCAGCAGUGGGGAAUAUUGCACAAUGGGCGGAAGCCUGAUGCAGCGCCGCCGCGUGGGGGAUGAAGGCCUUCGAGUUGUAAACUCCUUUCGACGGAGACGCGGUACCUGUAUAAGAAGCACCGGCUAACUACGUGCCAGCCGCCGCGGUAAUUC
rnacentral:rRNA from 1 species